rnacentral:RNase_P_RNA from 1 species
GGGGAGAAUCGUGCCAUCGCUGCCGUCGAAAGGCGGCUGAGGAAAGUCCGGGCAGCACAGGGCGGCGCCCUGUGGAAAGCACAGAUAGGUGCAAGCUUAUGGGGGGUGCAACAGAAAACAACCGCCUCCGCAAGGAGGUAAGGGUGAAAACGGGAGGCAAGAGCUCCCGGCGGGCUAUGGCGACAUAGUCCGGGUGCAAUCCGGCGCGCUGCAAGGCCAUGUAUACCGGCAUUCAAGGACUGCCCGUCCGCUGCCGGGGGGUAGGCUGCGACAGAUAAAUGAUGGCAAGCCCGCUCCCCUGCGAAGGGAAGCGGGCCACAGAACCCGGCUUACAGAUUCUCCCCGGUU